rnacentral:rRNA from 1 species
UACGAGGGGUGCAAGCGUUGCUCGGAAUUAUUGGGCGUAAGGGUAGGUAGGUGGUCUCAUUUGUCUAGGGUGAAAGCCUUGAGCUUAACUCAAGAAGUGCCCUAGAAACGGUGAGACUGGAGUCCUGGAGAGGGUCGUGGAAUUCCCGGUGUAGCGGUGAAAUGCGUAGAGAUCGGGAGGAACACCAGCGGCGAAAGCGGCGACCUGGACAGGUACUGACACUCAACUACGAAAGCGUGGGGAGCAAACAGG